UGAACUUGAAACGUGGUGUGUACUGACAUUUUUCCGCAGUUGAAACAACAUUCCUUCUGAUGUUCAUUCAAGUUUAUUUGAUGCUAUAAAUUAACUAGUAGGAAGAGAUGAUUGGUUCACGCGCCGCUUGGACUGAGGUGCAAUCUGUCACUACACAUUAAAGAGAAACAAAACAGUAUUUAUUGUUUAAAUUUCUUUAAAAAUUACAAAGACUUUGUUGUCAGUGUCCUCUUUGCUCCGCAGUGUAUUUUUCACUGUGUGAGAACAUGAUGUGUGGUUUGAGAGCGGACAUAGCAACAGUAACUAAAGAAGGCGGGUCUUUAGGAACGGUCAAUUUUGCACAUGUUUCUUGCAGAUGAUCUUUUGUGGGGUUAAUGGUUCUACAGUUUGUCAUCCACAGAAACCUUGAAGCACCCUUGAGUGUCACGACCUGCAGCAUGUACCCAAGACCCAAGUAGAUGGGCAAACUCAUAGAAGAAGAAAAAAGAGCAAAAACUGACAUACUUUAGAUGAGAGGACAAAAAGUGAAAAGUUAAGUGGGUUUCAUGUUAUAGAAAUGAGCUCCGUAGAUAUAUGAACUUUAUUAAUGUUAACCUUCUAAUUCUGAAAAAUAUCGAUAGCCACA